rnacentral:rRNA from 1 species
UACGAAGGGAGCUAGCGUUGUUCGGAAUCACUGGGCGUAAAGCGCACGUAGGCGGACGUGUCAGUCAGGGGUGAAAUCCCGGAGCUCAACUUCGGAACUGCCUUUGAUACAGCACGUCUUGAGUCCGGAAGAGGUGGGUGGAAUUCCUAGUGUAGAGGUGAAAUUCGUAGAUAUUAGGAAGAACACCGGUGGCGAAGGCGGCCCACUGGUC